GACUCACUUUCGCCUGGUCCAUGCUGUGCAUCAGAUUCAGCCACCUGCUUCCCUCCCUGGAAUCCAGCACAGACUGUCUGGAAGCUUUUUUUUUUAAAGCUACCAAAUGCAACCUCUGAUAGGAAUCUAGUUGGAGAGACAGCAUGUGCCCAUCUAAAACCACUGAGAAGAUGGAGAAACUGGAAAACAUUUUGGUGCUGAGGAAAUGCAUACAACCAUCAGCUCAUGCUGGCUGAGGAAUAGAUAUGGGGAGGUCUGAUUGUGAAGAAGAAGAAAAGCCAUCUGCUGAGGGUGGAGUUACCUCCAGCCCACCUGAGUGACCUAAUGCAGCAGAGCCACCCACACCACGAAGGCCACCUGUCUGCCUCUGGACUCUUAUGUCACAAAGAAAUUUUGUCAUAAUUAGGCCAUCAUAUUUUUAGGUUUCUUUGUAUCAGCCAAUUCUAUUUUACUCAGAUUCUUUCUGGAUCCUCUUUUGGUUUUUUGAAUCAUGUUUUUCAUCUAUCUUAUCUGGGAAUAUGGCCUCUUGGAAUAUUGCAUCAUGCAGAUUUUGUGUUUGUUUUUCUUUAAUGUAUUUGACUACCUUAAGUUGACUUGGGCCUUAUCUGCUGUCUCACAUCAUUCAGAAACUCAAGAUCACCAAAUGUGAUUGGUCAGAGGAGGCAUAAAGGUGACCUUGGCAUUGCUUAAUUCUUGCUCUUGCUACUUAUACUUUGUUUUCUUCCAUUGCAUCCAGUAGUGACAUUUAGACUCAAUUAUGUAUUUAUUAUUACCUUUAAAUAAUGAAUUAAGUGUC